AAGGCUACAUAGAGAAAUCCUGUCCCCAGAAAUUAAACAACUGGGAAAAUUGUGUAUAUAUAUAUAUAUAUAUAUAUAUAUAUAUAUAUAUAUAUAUAUAUUAUAAAUAAAUACACACACACACACACACACACACUUUUCUUGGAAU
rnacentral:miRNA from 1 species